rnacentral:tRNA from 3 species
GGGGCCUUAGCUCAGUUGGUAGAGCACUGGCUUUGCAAGCCAGGUGUCAGGGGUUCGAAUCCCCUAGGCUCCACCC